rnacentral:misc_RNA from 1 species
AUGAUUCUCAAAGGAUGUGCUGGCAAACUAAAAGUUGCAUGUGCACUCUGACUAUCAUUCACCUGUGCACAUUUUGUAGACAGAGAUAGCAGCAAUGUUAUCUCAUUGUCUAUGAUUUUUAUACACCCUGUUUAAAUAAAAUUGUAUGCUUUUGAAAAUAAAUA